GUUAUUAAAGUGGAGGGCGGGUGAGUAGCACGUGGGAACAUGCCUUUCGGUACGGAGCAACGCUUGUAAACGAGUGCUAAUACCGUAUACGCCCUUAGGGGGAAAGAUUUAUCGCCGAAAGAUUGGCCCGCGCUAGAUUACCUAGUUGGAAAGGUAAUGGCUUACCAAGGCGACUAUCUAUAGCUGGUUUGACAGGAUGAUCAGCCACACUGAGACUGAGACACGGACCAGACUCCUACGGCAGGCUCCAACGGGAAAUAUUGGACAAUGGGGGCAACCCUGAUCCAACGAUGCCGCGUGAGUGAUGAAGGCCUUAGGGUUGUAAAACACUUUCAGUUGUGAGGAAAGUUUGAUGGUUAAUACCCAUUAGAUGUGACGUUAACAACAGAAGAAGGACCGGCUAACUCCGUGCCAGCAGCCGCGGUAAUACGGAGGGUCCGAGCGUUAAUCGGAAUUACUGGGCGUAAAGCGCACGCAGGCGGUUUGUUAAGCUAGAUGUGAAAGCCCCGGGCUCAACCUGCGGAAUAGCAUUUAGAACUGUAUGACUAGAGUCUUGGAUAGGAGGAGUGGAAUUCCAGGUGUAGCGGUGAAAUGCGU
rnacentral:rRNA from 1 species